AUCAAUGAAAUCAGGAAAUGAAUCUCUGGCCUCGCGAUUUUGACUACUUGGUACCUGACAUCGCGGCACUGCAUAUCCCCUGCAUACAUUUAGACAGAAAAUGAAAUCAGGAAAGACCGGGAAAUCUCUGUUUCUUUAAUCUGUGGGCAAAAGGAGAGAGAUCUUAUAACUUUGAGUGUCUGUGCUUUGAAUGACGGAUCGGAAACUGCAGGGAAAGCCAUAAUACGCAGAGCUGCAAUAUGCAGAAACCCUGGAGACCCACUGGUGAUAGAAGAGAUUGAAGUUGAACCUCCAAAAGCUUGGGAGAUUCGCAUCAGGAUCCUUCACCUACUACCAGGGCCAAAUCAUGAAAUUUUUACUGAUGACCCCUGGGCACCAUUGCUGCUCCUUCACCUACUACCAGAGCCAAACCAUUGGCAGCUGGUAGGGGCCAAGGUAAACCUGCUGCUCCAAAAUUGGGCGUUGGACGUCCUCAUCCGGGAUGUAAUUCAGGGAUAGAGAACACGAAGAAGCAGGGAUGGAAAAUGAAGUUCUGUAAUUUUUUUUUUUCUGGUGACUGGUUUCGACAUUAAAAUGUAAUGUAGAUCCUAGUUGACGUGAGUUAUAUCUGCUAUUCUCGGCCCAUAUAUUUGAUUUGUAAUAUCAUUCUUUUCUGCAUCAUAUUCUUUAUGUUUUGUUUUUCCUUUUAAUAUAAUUGUUGUAUGCUAUAACAACUUGCAAUGUAUAUAUAGUAGGUAAAUUAGUUUC